CCACCACUCUCUCUCUCUCUCAUCCCUAAAAAAUCUCUCUCUCUCAUCCUCGGUCCACCCCAUCCCGGGCGUCUCGCUCACCGGAGGAGUCUCGCUCGGCCUCCCCUCUCCCUGAUCGAGCCGCCACCUCUCGCCCUCCCGCGAAAUCCAUGGCGACUGCGGCCUGAUCUGCAUCCUCGCCGGCCCUGCUGCCUCGCCGCCGCCCCUGCUGACCCCGUCUACCUCGCCGCCGCCCUGGUCUUCAAAUCGCGGCUGCCCCACUUCAACCUGCCCGCCGCCAGGUCCAACACACCAUCGCCGCCGGCCGGGAGAGGGACUUGGUGUUGUAAAACUAUUCUGUAGGGCGGCGUACAAGCUAGUCAUGCGGGCUGCAGCGCCUGACGACGCUGGUUGACCUUCUCCUAUGCGUGCAGGGCAACAUCGACGCUGGACCAGAUGGACGAGCUGCAGUGCCAAACUGGGAGAGGAAUAGACGCUCCAGCAGCAGUGGUAUUCUCUAUGCAAUCAAACAAGAAGCAUUUAGUGUUGUUUCACCGAAUCAAAAGAGACCAAAAUCAGACCACAUAUGAUUGCAGAUUAUGCGUGUGUAUGUGGAGAAGAUAACUGGGUCGAUUGAUUUGAUGUUAAUUUGUUUGCUUCACUCUGUUUAUUUAUGGCUACGACGACGGCGGCACACGAGAUGAGGCGCAGGCUUGUUUUAUCUGUUUGGUGUUAUAGAUGGUUGACGGGGAGAGACUACACUGCCGGUUUGCUGAAGUGGUAGGUUGCCAUUCAGAUAAGCGGAAGCCGGGUUCGGAGCCACCGACAGUGUCUUCCUUGGAUUCGUUCCUGCAAUAAGGAGGGGACCCACCCUUCUUCACGUGUCGAGCAACAAGGACCAGCCUUCGGCUGUUACUAUUGAUUCAUGUGCAUGUGCAAUAAAGAAAGAAAAUACAAUACUAGAUUUGGACAUAGGACGUGAACCAACAAGUUUUCACUUUCCUGACGUGGGUGCAGGGGUGAUCGAGGAGGAUUACCGUGGCCCGGUGGGUGUCGUGCUCUUCAACCACUUGGAGGUGGACUUCACCGUGAAGCCCGGUUACUACUGCACAUAGAUGAUCAUCCAGGUGAUCGCACCGUCGGAGGUCGUCGAGGUGGAGGUCCUCGACGCCACUGUCCGGGGGGAGGUCUACCGGCGUCUGAACUCCAAACCUUGGUAGAUACAUCUAGAGAAGUGGUUUGUUUAGGUUGGUGGUGGAAUACUUUCAGUUGAGAUGAUGGUUGUGUUCGUGUGAUGUUAGACGGGAUGUUGUGAUUUCUUUCAAUUGAGAUGUUGUUCCUUGACAUGAGUUUAUUUUGCACCGGGCACGUCUAUUUCUAUCCCGGAAUAAUGCAUCUAAAUUUUA